CUCAAUGGCAGUUGUGCGCGGGAGGCCUUCGGGUCUGCCGGCUUCCAUGGUGUCGGUUCGCCAACCUGCGUACAGCUGCCACCCAU
rnacentral:antisense_RNA from 1 species